rnacentral:rRNA from 1 species
UGCGUAGGCGGCUUUUUAAGUUUUGUUGUGAAAUCUCCCGGCUCAACCGGGAGGGUGCGGCGAAUACUGAGAAGCUAGAGUGUGGGAGAGGAAAGUGGAAUUCCUGGUGUAGCGGUGAAAUGCGUAGAUAUCAGGAGGAACACCGGUGGUGUAAACGGCUUUCUGGACCAUAACUGACGCUGAGGCACGAAAGCGUGGGUAGCAAACA